rnacentral:lncRNA from 1 species
AGGCGGGCCGCCCUGAUUGGCGUGCGGGGCCGGCGGCCGCGCUCCGACGGCACCGGGGCAGGGCAGGGCAGGGCAAGGCAAGGCAAAGCGGCCGAGGGGCCGCGGCGGACACGGCGGCUCUGGCCUCGCUCCUGGCCCCGGCUGGCCACAGCCCCUCGACACGUUGGAGCGGAAGCACAGAGAGUUUGAGUGCCUGAACACAUGUGGAACCCAGCACAGUGUGAUCAGGAGAGGGCCUGUCACAUGCUCUAAAUCCUUGUGCAAAUCUGAAGCAGAAUCUUCAUGCUGCAGUAAAUGGUUGCCCAGCCCAUGCUACCUUUCAAAUCCACAUGCAGGACACUGCUUAAAAUGCCAAAGAGCAUGGACAAGGCAGUUUCUCCCUGCUGAUCCUCCCAUGGGGCUUCCAGUAAGAGCUUUCUGCUGCACCUGGUCACUGAUCCGUGGCUACAGGAGCAUUGAUCCCUGGUUAAUCUUCACUCGGGACAAGGAUGGGCUAAUAAUAUAUCUUCCUGUGAGAACUGUGGUUUCAAAAAAUCAGCCGUUUCACUCCUGUGAUUUUGCAGUUGGUCUUCUGGCAGGGAUGUGUGGAAUAGAAACAGUGAAGUUGUAA